rnacentral:rRNA from 1 species
UACGGAGGGUGCGAGCGUUGUCCGGAAUCACUGGGCGUAAAGGGCGCGUAGGCGGCCUGAUAAGUAGGGGGUGAAAUCCUGCGGCUUAACCGCAGGGCUGCCUUCUAAACUGUCAGGCUUGAGCACAGUAGAGGCAGGUGGAAUUCCCGGUGUAGCGGUGGAAUGCGUAGAGAUCGGGAAGAACACCAGUGGCGAAGGCGGCCUGCUGGGCUGUUGCUGACGCUGAGGCGCGACAGCGUGGGGAGCAAACAGG